rnacentral:rRNA from 1 species
AAAUUGAAGAGUUUGAUCAUGGCUCAGAUUGAACGCUGGCGGCAGGCCUAACACAUGCAAGUCGAACGGUAGCACAGAGAGCUUGCUCUCGGGUGACGAGUGGCGGACGGGUGAGUAAUGUCUGGGAAACUGCCUGAUGGAGGGGGAUAACUACUGGAAACGGUGGCUAAUACCGCAUAACGUCGCAAGACCAAAGAGGGGGACCUUCGGGCCUCUUGCCAUCAGAUGUGCCCAGAUGGGAUUAGCUUGUUGGUGAGGUAACGGCUCACCAAGGCGACGAUCCCUAGCUGGUCUGAGAGGAUGACCAGCCACACUGGAACUGAGACACGGUCCAGACUCCUACGGGAGGCAGCAGUGGGGAAUAUUGCACAAUGGGCGCAAGCCUGAUGCAGCCAUGCCGCGUGUAUGAAGAAGGCCUUCGGGUUGUAAAGUACUUUCAGCGGGGAGGAAGGUGUUGUGGUUAAUAACCGCAGCAAUUGACGUUACCCGCAGAAGAAGCACCGGCUAACUCCGUGCCAGCAGCCGCGGUAAUACGGAGGGUGCAAGCGUUAAUCGGAAUUACUGGGCGUAAAGCGCACGCAGGCGGUCUGUCAAGUCGGAUGUGAAAUCCCCGGGCUCAACCUGGGAACUGCAUUCGA